rnacentral:lncRNA from 1 species
AGAUGUUUCUGUCUUGGGGAACUUCCUUUCUCUUCUUGCCACUGCACCAGGUGCUGACUACACUUCCUUACCACAGGGCAAGUGACAUCUGAAGAGGCUGACAGACUUCAGAGCUGGGUAAGGCAACCAGAAUACCCCCUGAACUGCCUCUGCCUGUUCUGUGAUGUCACCUGACCUCUGCUCUGUUUACAUAUAGCUGCUUGUGACAUCAUCUGGGCAUGUAUGGUAUCUGUAUCUAUGUCAAGACCUGGGCUUUGCUCCACUUGGAGUCAGCUGAUUGGCAGGAGGGCAUCUGAAAUUGAGAGGAGGUUUCAGGCCGUUUACCCAGCCCUUUAGUGGGGAUCUGUCCGGGACUCUGCAGUCUGAACCUGCAACUGUAAAAGAGGUCUGGUUGAAGGACAUGAGCAGUGCAGAACAGAAGAGAGACAACAAAUAAAAGUGGUCAUCACUGUUUCAACUGGGAAGAGCAGUAUGGAUAUAGAAACCAAGUCAGGAGGGGAAACAAGGCAUGGUCCCUGGAAACAACCCUGGUGCUGUCCAGCAGCGUGUUGAACAGGAAGUUGUGUGUGCGAAUACAAGGUUCCAUAAAAUUCCUGAUGGAGAUCGUGGAGUGAAAAGAAAUUAUCACAGAAUUCCAACAAGGCUUGAAGGCAGAAUUAUCUUUAGAAAACUAAGCCUGUAUUAAUAAAAAAAACAUAAUAUGAAAAUAUAAUUUA